CGCAUACGCCCUACGGGGGAAAGCAGGGGAUCUUCGGACCUUGCGCUAAUAGAUGAGCCUAAGUCAGAUUAGCUAGUUGGUGGGGUAAAGGCCUACCAAGGCGACGAUCUGUAGCGGGUCUGAGAGGAUGAUCCGCCACACUGGGACUGAGACACGGCCCAGACUCCUACGGGAGGCAGCAGUGGGGAAUAUUGGACAAUGGGCGCAAGCCUGAUCCAGCCAUGCCGCGUGUGUGAAGAAGGCCUUUUGGUUGUAAAGCACUUUAAGCGAGGAGGAGGCUACCGAGAUUAAUACUCUUGGAUAGUGGACGUUACUCGCAGAAUAAGCACCGGCUAACUCUGUGCCAGCAGCCGCGGUAAUACAGAGGGUGCGAGCGUUAAUCGGAUUUACUGGGCGUAAAGCGUGCGUAGGCGGCUUUUUAAGUCGGAUGUGAAAUCCCUGAGCUUAACUUAGGAAUUGCAUUCGAUACUGGGAAGCUAGAGUAUGGGAGAGGAUGGUAGAAUUCCAGGUGUAGCGGUGAAAUGCGUAGAGAUCUGGAGGAAUACCGAUGGCGAAGGCAGCCAUCUGGCCUAAU
rnacentral:rRNA from 1 species